rnacentral:lncRNA from 1 species
GCUGAAGCAUGUUACUUCAGGAAUUUCAAAGCCUGGUGCCUUUACGUAUUUAUAGGUGCCAGGUGAAAACAUUCCUCUUCACCCCGGCCUUUUGAACUGUGUGGGGCCAGAGCGCCAGCUCCUUGGGGCCAAGGCACUAGGGGGGGCCUGGUCUUUUUUUUAAGGAGCUGGGCCCCCUCACUGGUCAGAUGACUUUCUCAAUCCGAAAAAGGUGAGAGGCGGGGGUAUUGCUUUGUUUGUUAUUACAUUAUGUACUUUUGUGUUUUUAUAUUGUAAACUGCUCUGUGAUCCUUGUAGGUAUAUACAUUUAAUCAAUAAAUCAAUAAGUAGGUAUAUACAUUUAAUCAAUAAAUCAAUAAGUAGGUAUAUACAUUUAAUCAAUAAAUUAUUCCGCACUUUCCAGUGCAAUUGCCCAUCCCCUUAUCCCAAAAUUCUACCUUUUCUGGUGUGUGUGUGGGGGGGGAUUGUUUUUGUUGUGCAAGAGCACCAUAUCAACUUUAAUUGUGCAGCCUGAAUUUUUUGGUAUGUGACUGAAGCCUAUCCAGAAAUAGCAAAUCUGGAAUAACCCCUGGUACAAUUUUACAAAACUUUCCAGAGGCAUCUGAUUAGCCACCGUCAGAAACAAAAUGCUCUUCUGAAAACAUCUUAUUUGUGUGGUAACUGGGAGGAUCCUCAGGUUCAUUACGCUGUGACUACAUUGUUAGUCAUCAGUUAAUGGAAGAGACUCUGUGCAUUCCAUCUCAAAGGGAGGAUGCCUCCGUCCUCUGCUCUUGCCGUAGCAGAACUGCUGCAUUCCUAAACUGUUGGUAGCUGUUUCUGCAAACUGGUUCCGAUAAUCAUCUCACGCCUUAAUGUACUGAUACUCAAUUACGAUUUGUCAUUAUAGAAAAAUUAUCCUGGGCAGUAAGGAAUUAAAAUUGUUGUUUUAAAUGUCAAUAGCACAAUGCAGAAAUAGACCAGGUUGAAAUUUCUGCAAAGGGCAAAGUAUAGGCGCUUACACAACAAUUGCUUAACAUUAACAUAAACAGCCUGUUGCAAACAAUGCAAGUGUGAAAUACUUCACAGAGGGAUGGGAUGUGAGUGGGAUAUUUUUAUUUUUAUUGGACUUUCUUCGAUAGCUCCUAAUAAAAGAGAAAAGCUCAUUUUACACAGGAACAUCUUUUGUAAGGAGUAAAGUGAGUGCAGCUGCUCAAUUUAUAUACAGUGGUACCUCGGGUUACAUACGCUUCAGGUUACAUAGGCUUCAGGUUACAGACUCCACUAACCCAGAAAUAGUGCUUCGGGUUAAGAACUUUGCUUCAGGAUGAGAACAGAAAUUGUGCUCCGGUGGCGCAGCAGCAGCAGGAGGCCCCAUUAGCUAAAGUGGUGCUUCAGGUUAAGAACAGUUUCAGGUUAAGAACAGACCUCUGGAACGAAUUAAGUACUUAACCCGAGGUACCACUGUAUCUAGGCCAGCCAAAACAGGAUGUUUAUAAACAGAAGCUGGAAAGAAUUGGGGAGAAAACUCAAAAAGCUGGAGGCUUACUCCGUCUUAUAAGAAGAAGUAUGAAAUCUAACCCCAUAAAGACCAGAUGACUACAUUCCUCCCCAAAUGUAGCUUUCUGCCCUUCAAAUAAUUGUCUCACUUGAUGACAACCUUUGUCCACAACAGGAUUCUCCUUUGCUGUGAAGACUUAGCCAUCUCUGGCUUCCUUUUUAUUAAAAAUUCAUCCUGAUUUGUUUGAAGGGAGAUUAUACAUUGGCUUUUCAUUAAGCUUCCAUUGUGAUUUGUUUGCAGGGAAUAAAUAAAUGAGGAUGGAUCCUGGGGUGGGAAGCAUAUCAGUAAAGUGGUACCUUGGUUCUCAAACUUAAUCCGUUCCAGAAGUCCGUUCCAAAACCAAAGUGUUACAAAACCAAGGCGUGCUUUCCCAUAGAAAGUAAGGCAAAAUGGAUUAAUCUGUUCCAGACUUUUAAAAACAACCCCUAAAACAGAAAUUUAACAUGAAUUUCACUAUCUAACAAUACAAUUGAUCCAUAAAAUGAAAGCAAUAAUCAACAUACUGUACUAUAAAAUAAAUAAGUUUUGUAGAUGAUAAAAAUUAAAAUUACUUUUUUUUCUUACCUUCACUGAUGAUUGUCAUUGUUUGGAUGGGGGUGUGUGUGUUAUCCAUUUCUGCACUCACUCACUCACUCACUCACUCAGUAGCUGAACUGGGUUCCACACAGUCACAAAAACAAAUUAACCGAAAAAGCCUCAU